UAGAGAAGAGCGUUUUGGUAAUAUAUUUCCCAGAUAUAUUGUCAAAAUACGCAUAUAUUUGUCUUUUGGCACUUUGUGUGACGUCACCAGCGUACUCAGAGGCAAAAUGGCGGAUACGUUUGCGAAGUACCACUGCAACUAUUGUGAAGAGGAUGUUAAUGGACUGAGGGUACGGUGUCUGGAGUGCGAAGACUUCGAUCUUUGUUUACAGUGCUUUUCGUGUGGUGCUGAAAUUGGCAAGCAUAGACGAAAUCACGGUUAUCAAUUUAUGGUGACUAAAGCCAGACGUGGGACGCUGCAGGACGAGAGGUCAGGUGACGUAGCUGCAGCAGUCCCUGUAGAGGCAGAGUUGGUGAUGGUAGAAAGGCGUGGGACGCUGCAAGCUGAGAGGUCGGUCGACGUUGUAGCAGGCGUUCCAGGAGCAGAGGCCGGUGUUUUCCAGGAUACAGGAAACUUUAGCAUUUUCCCUGGUCAAGGCCAUUGGACUGCACGAGAAGAAGUCAGAUUAUUGGAUGCAAUAGAACAGUAUGGAUAUGGGAACUGGGAAGAUAUCGCUCGUCACAUUGAGACAAGAACGCCUGAAGAUGCAAGAAAUAAAUAUAUCAGCAGUUACAUAGAUGGCAACAUUGGACGAGCUUCAUGGAAACCAGCUCUGGAGAGGUUGCAGUUGCCAAUAGAACACACAUCUGCUGACACAGGGCCAUUAUCACCCACUCUAGCCUCGUCUUUACCUUCACAACCGCUGUGUCUGGAAGAAAAUACUAUCUUGGGAUACAUGCCUCACAGAGAUGAUUUUGAGAGGGAAUGGGACAAUGAUGCAGAAGCGACAAUAGCGCCACUUUUUAUUCAUCCUGUCGAUGAUGAAGACAUUGAUAUGGCUCUUAAACUUGCCCAGGUGGAUAUGUAUAUGCGACGACUACGUGAGCGAUCUAGAAGAAAGCGUGUUGUUCGAGAUUUCCAGAUUGUUCCACAGUUCUUCAAAAAGGAGAAAGAAAAAGCACAAGUUCCACCCAAAAAGAAAAGUAAAGAUGACAGAGAUGCUGUAGCAGAAAAAUUACGAGCAGCCAGUCAAUUUCAAACUGCUAGUGAACAUAACAAUCUAAUUUCUUCCAUGGUGCGAGAAAGAGAGCUCAGAACAAGAAUAAGAGAGUUAUUAAGAUAUCGGCGAAAUGGUAUUAGACAUGUGGAAGAGUGCCAUGAAUUUGAAGUAGCUCGGUCACGACGAGAUAAGAAGAAAGAAAACAAAAAGAAGUCAGCCAGCCUGCCUCAGACUCCAACGACUCAAAUGGACCUGAACAUAAAGUCAAAAGAAGCUCUAGACAAGGAAGUGAAGAAACGACGCAAGAAGUCCGAAAUGUUUAGCAGAAAAAAAGUUCACGCCUCUCGAUACUGGCGGUGGAAGAUGGCUCAGCGGGAACUUGAGCGGCAGCGGCUUGAGCGGGAGCAGCGAGAGCAUCACAAACUGGGGGGGCGGGAACAGCACGCAACAGACACAGCAGGGGGGGGUAGCCGGGGGGAAUGAUGAUCCAGUGCCAAUUUCAUCAUUGCCAGGAUACCAUCUUCUGUCCCAGAGAGAAAGGAAGCUGUGUGCCUCCUCAAAUAUCAAACCAUCCCAGUACAUUGCUUACAAAGCAGUUUUACUAAAGGAUGAAGGCGAUAAGCAGCAAGCAGGAGUGGGCCCAGCUACCCGUAGGGGCGUCUGUUGCCCACAAGGCCUUGAUUCUCA
rnacentral:misc_RNA from 1 species